GCACGGCAUUGAUGAAUCUCACAAAUAUAAUGUGGAAUGAAAGAAGCUAGUUACAAAGAGAACACAUAUUGUCUGAUUCCAUUUAUUCAAAGUUCAAAAACGAGCAAAUUUCAUCUAUGGUGCUACAAGUCAGGAUAGUGGUCCCUUUAAAAAGCAAGAAGGAGGUAGCUGUGGGAAGGGCCAUGAGGUGGGCCCUGAAUGCUGGUACUUUUCUAUUUCUUGACCUGGGUUGUGGUUACUUUGGGUGGUUUUCUUUGCACUAUCCACUUAGGAUUCAUGCACUUUUCUGUAGGUAUGCUCUACUGAGGAAGAAAGAUUUAUCUAAGUAAAUGAAGGCUAAUCUUUAUUUUAAUAAAUGAUAAAAUGUUUCUCCCCACCUUGUUUCUGACACACUCCCAAAUUCAGGUUCCCCACUGGAUGUGACUUUGUUGUUCUUACCAAAUGUGUUAGCCACAAUGGAAAAAAUUUAUUGGGUUUUUACGGAUUUUUUUAAAGUUUAACAUCUUCCUUGUAAGGUCAUUAAAAAACUCUAUCCUCAAAUAAAACCAUCAAACUUCACCCCUAUCCUUUUAUGGUUAAGAAAACUGAAAUGCUGAAUCUGGGAAUAACAGUCAUCUUGGGAUCAGAAAGUGAAAGUAGAUCAGAAAUUCAUGCAUUCAUUCACCUGACAAAUAUUGAUUAAGCACCUACUAUUAUUAUAGGCACUGCAAAGACAACAGUGAACAAAAAAGGUCCUAUUCCCAUGGAACUUACAUUCAGGUGAAGAUAGAAAACACACAAGUCAACAAGCAAAUGUGACGAAGAGAAACAAGGCAGGGAUGUGAGGUAGCAGGUGCCAAGAAUAAGGUUUUGUUUGUGUGGAGAGUGGUCAUGGAAGACCUCACCCAAAGGUGAGAGACCUGGAGAAGAGGGGUGGCCAUGUGGGUGCCUGGGAGGAGAAUGCUCCACACCGAGGGAGCCUGAGAAGGGAACCGUUUCUGUGUCUGAGGAACAGCCAGGAGGCCAGUGUGGCAGGCAGAGAACGAGCAAAGAAGACAGCAGAGAUCGGAGUCAGGGAUCAUUAGGGCCUCCUAGACCCAUUGUAAGGGCUGUGGCUUUGCCUCUAAAUGAGAUAGAGGCUUGUGAGUGGAAAGAGGGACAUGAUCUGAUUUAACUUUUAAGACUUAUUCAGGCUGCUGGGAGGGAAUAGAAAGAAAAGGGGAAUAGAAAGCAAAAGCAAGGAGCCCGAUCAGGAAGUUGUUAUGGGGAUACAGUUGAGAGACCAUGGUGCCUUGGACCAGUGGUGAGGAUGUUGAGAACUGGAUCUCUUUCAUGGUAGCGACAACCAAGGUUUACUGUUUGGAAGUAAGUUGUAAGACAAAGAGAGGAGUCAAGAUGUUUGACCUGAGCAAUUGGAAGAAUGGAGUUCUUGUCAACUGACAUGUGGGUGGAACAGGUGUGGUGGAAGCUUUCAAAAUACUGUUUGCACAUGUUUAGUCCAAGCCUAUUAGAUAUCCUCGUGGAGAUUACUGUAUAAGGAGGCAGUUGGAGAUAAAGAGGCUGGAGCUCAACAGAGAAGUUGGUACUGAAGAUGUAAAUUUGGGUGUUGGCUGAAGCUAAAAGACUGGGUGAGAUCACUUAGGAAAAGGAUAUAGACAGAAAGGAGAAGUCAUCCAAGGGAUGGCCCUCUGAGAUCAGCCCUGCCUUACAUCCUGCUUCCGCUGCAGAAUGAGAUCUCCUCAUGCUGGAAGAAUUGGCCCCGCGUCACCUGUGCCAGAUGGCUGAUUUGUUGCAGGUGUGAGGGUAAGUGGGACAACACCAAGUCCUGGAAAUUGGACCUCAGCGGAGACCAACCAUCCGCUGGUGAGAGAGCAGUUCUAUUGAUGUAGCCAAACUCCCCGUGCAAACACUGAUAGAAGUCAAUGGAAAGGCACCUUUCUUGGCCACCUCUCCAUGGCGUUCCCCACUGGAUAACAGGAAAACAAGACGAAGAACAGAGUGCCUGCCCCAUUGUGCGCGAGUGGAGAAAGCCCAGAAUCUGUUGGCGAUGGCUCAGCUUCAACACUUGUCUCUGUUGCCUUCCACCUGCCUUUUCUUGGGCGAGUCCCACAGUCUCUCUGAGCAUCCUCAAUUUCCAUAUCUAUAGAGAGGGGGAGUCCCAUGUCCACGAGUCUUCAGCCAACAGCCCCUGGGAGAAGGCUCACACCCAAGACUUCGUCCAUGAGUUGCAGGCCACCACUCCGCUCCAUCCACGCCUGCAGAUCUGUGCUGCUCAGGUUUUUCUCACAGCCUGUCUCUCCCCAGAACUCUGGCACUGAGACCAGAUGGGGCUGUGCUCACUGAGAUAGCCAAGUGACAUCACCACACUGGACCCAGCAUCAUCCUGCCCUUCCCACAAUAAAUGCUUUGGUAUCAGGCCAAGCUUCUCUGCUGACAUUCUCUCUCUCCUUAGGGGUCCAGUCCCAGCUCUGCUGCUGACUUGCU